GAUGAACGCUGGCGGCGUGCCUAAUACAUGCAAGUCGAGCGAACAGACGAGGAGCUUGCUCCUCUGACGUGAGCGGCGGACGUGUGAGUAACACGUGUAUAACCUACCUAUAAGACUGGGAUAACUUCGGGAAACCGGAGCUAAUACCGGAUAAUAUAUUGAACCGCAUGGGUCAAUAGUGAAAGACGGUUUUUCUGUCACGUCUAGAGGGAUCCCCGCCGCAUUAGAUAGUUGUUAGGGUAACGGAUUAACACGGCGACGAUGAGUGUCCGACCUGAUAGGGUGGUCGGCGACACGGGAAGUGAGACAGCGACAAGGCUCCUAAGGGAGGGCGCAGAAGCGAAUCUUCGGCAAUGGGGGAAAGCAUGACGCAGCAACGCCACGUGUGUGACGAAGACGUUAGGAGCGUAAUAACCUGUUAUUAGGGAAAAACCAAUGUCUACGUAGACAAGGAGGUAUUGACGGUAACUAAUAAAGAAGCCACGGCUAACUACGUG
rnacentral:rRNA from 1 species